GGCUGAGGAGCUUGGAGUUUGUCUUGUGGAGCGGGUGGGGGGUAGGGGAGAAGGGUGUUAGGGAGCCAUGGCAGGGUUUAGAGCAGGGGAGGACUGGGUCAGAGCUGAAGCCAGAACUGGAGGAAUGAGACUGGAAGCCAGUAGCCCAGAAGGCGGCUUGGGCAGGGACCCAGGCAGGAGAGGAUGGAGCCUGGAUUAGGCCAGAGGCCAAGGGGAUAAGGCAGAGAUUCAGGAGGCAGAAAGAACAGAAUAUGGGGCUUGAUGGGCUGUGGGAUGAGGAGGUGUCCAGGACAAGACUGAGAACUCUGGCCUAGAGGACUUGGGGAUGAUGGAGUCACCCCUGAGAUGGGGACAGGAAAGAGGAGCAGUUGGUGGGUGAUGACUGUUUUGGCAGAGAUAAGCAAGGAGUCUUAUGAGCUGGAACUCAGGGGGAAAUGUGACUCAGGCCAGUGGGUCUGGACCUUCGGGGAGACCUCUGGGCUAUGGCUCCCUCUCCCAUCACAGGCCCUGACUCAGAAGUCACUUAUUGGGUGAAUGAGAGCCUCUGAGGUUCUAGUCCCUCAUCUCCAGCCAGAAGUGAGCACCUAGCCUGCUCUCCUGCCUCCUCCUGGAUGUCCCCCUGAAUUGUCUCAUGAAGACCUUUUGAUCUGUCCAUGUGCAAAACAGCCCUUAGCAUCUUACCUGCCUCGUACACCACUGAGCCUCCUCCCAGUAAAGAGCCUCACUGUCCACCUGCUCCCCUGGCCAGACCCAAGUGUCAUCUUUGUCCCCUUGCUCUCCUGUAACCUCUGCUCCAUCCUCAGUAAGUCCUAUUCAUCCAA